rnacentral:rRNA from 1 species
UACGGAGGAUGCGAGCGUUAUCCGGAUUUAUUGGGUUUAAAGGGUGCGUAGGCGGUCCGUUAAGUCAGCGGUAAAAUUGCGGGGCUCAACCCCGUCGAGCCGUUGAAACUGGCAGACUUGAGUUGGCGAGAAGUACGCGGAAUGCGCGGUGUAGCGGUGAUGUGCAUAGAUAUCGCGCAGAACUCCGAUUGCGAAGGCAGCGUACCGGCGCCAGACUGACGCUGAGGCACGAAAGCGUGGGGAUCGAACAGG